GACGAACCGUGCGAACGUUAUUCGGAAUCACUGGGCUUAAAGGGCGCGUAGGCGGGCCACCAAGUCAGGGGUGAAAGCCUCCGGCUCAACCGGAGAAGUGCCUUUGAUACUGGUGGCCUAGAGGGAGGUAGGGGCCUGCGGAACUUCCGGUGGAGCGGUGAAAUGCGUAGAUAUCGGAAGGAACGCCGGUGGCGAAAGCGGCGGGCUGGACCUCUUCUGACGCUGAGACGCGAAAGCCAGGGGAGCAAACGGG
rnacentral:rRNA from 1 species